UACGGAAAUAAGCAGAGAACAAGAGGAUGUUGUGAUAGCAUUAUCUCUUCUAUUUAACUUUUCAAAGAAUCCACUGAAGCUUCUUUCUUGUAGUCCAUUUAAUUCUUUCCUUGAAUUAAAUGGCUCUGGCAGCCAUUCUCUGAAUUCUCUACAGAAUCAAGGUCAUCCCUGUGUCAAGAGCCUUUGAGUAGGGCAGUUUUCCUUAUCUCUUUGAUGUCUUGGCCCUGUGAGUGCCCCCACCUGUAGAUUCGCCAGGUGCACCAAUGUCAAGUCUUUCUCAUGAUCAUUUACUCUCAAACCUUUUAAUUCCUAAGGCCUAGUUGCCACAAAAGGGUCCACACAUGCUCAUCCUGACCCUGAGCUGUGAAAUGCAUUAUGCCCCAAAGUUUUUCAAUCAUGAUUCUUUAGUUCAUCUUUUUACAGUAUUUACUGAGGUGUUUUCAAUGGUCUGAUUUCAGACAAGAGAAAUAAAGAAUAAUAAAUAAACUAAAGAAAAAAAGAGAAAAAAGACUUUCUCACUACUUUCAAAAACAAUAAUAAACAGGGAAAUCGUUAAAUCCUGUUUUGUGCUGAGUUUAUCGGAUGUUAUCUUUGCUUUACCUUGUUAUCUCACUUUGCAAACUAUUUAUUGUCAGAUUAAAAACACCAUUAAAAAAAAAAAAAACAGUUGGGAGCUCUGAGAUGCAAGAACAAUUCUCAGCUUUCCCUAUUUUCACUUAAGUUUCUUUCAAAUGGGAAUAUUUAUAGAGCUGUGCCUCCCCAGGGUGUUGUUGGAGGAGAGGAAGUUGGUAAUUAGUAUUUAUUAUGUGCCUAGUCUGUCUCUCUGGGCAGUGUGCUUUAAAUAAUCCCUAUCAGAGGAGGCAAGCUUGAAGAAGUGGCUUUUCUAAGAUCACUGUGCUAGUAAGUGGCAGAGCCAGAGUUUGAGCCCCUCUUUCUAACUCCAGAAGUUUCCGCUAAGUUGAGCUAAUAAAGGGAGCCAGGGAUCGUGUGUCCAUAUGAAUGAGACUAUCAGAACCCAGUGUUAGAGGAGCAUCAGAAACCAAAAGCACAAUUUCCAAACUCGGAGACCUAUCAAAAUAACUCAAAUUUUAUUUCCCUUUAUGAAAACAAAGUGGGUCUUUGUCAGUUUGGGCUGCUGUCACAAAAUACCAUAGACUGGGUGGCUUCUAAACAACAGAGAUUUAUUUCUCAUGUUUCUGGAGGCUGGAAGUCCAAGAUCAGGGUACCAGCACGGUCAAGUUCUGGUGAAGAUCCCCUUCCUAAUAUACAGACAUAUUUCUUCUGUACCCUCAUGUGACAGAGAGAAAGAGAGAGAGAGAAAGGGGGAGCUAUCUUAUUCCUCUAAGGACACUAAUCCUAUCAUGGGGACUCUAUCCUCCUGACCUAAUUACCUUCCUAAGGCCCCACCUCCAAACACCAUCACUUAGGGUUUCAACAGUGGAACAUAUGCAUUUGAGGGAGAUAUAAACAUGCAGUCCACAGCAGGGGGAAUUUAUAUCCCAGGACAGAGCAACACUUACAAAAAUCUUUCCUCUCCUACCCACAUCCAUUGCAGUCUUCAGCUGCUUUCGUUGCUCCCAUGGCACUAAAAAAAGAAAACCCAAGGAGAAGAAAUUCUCUCCUCUUUUUCCCAUCUACUCUUGACUGUAUCUAUCAAUUGAACCUCUCUGGCUAGAGCCCUUCUUUUAUAUUCUACACAAUAUUCAUCCUCCCUUCUCUUUUCUUCUUGUUUUAUACUGUAGAAGCCCUCAAAACAGGUCCUACAAAGACUGAAAUCAUCUUUAAUAGGAGAGGGCAGAGAAACAGUAAAAUGCACAAUUUGUGGACGCACUCACACAGAGUCGGCCUUGCUUUGCAUGUUUCCAAUGUCUGUGAAUUUCAGUUAUCAUGAUUUAAUUCAGGCAUCCCAAGCUCUCAACCACACUGUUCAUGUUUCAGUUCCCAUGGUAUAGUAACUAAAAGUAAGCUUAUAAACUACGAAUUUUGCUGCUAGGUUCUCAUUCCGUAAAUCACUAUGUACAUAACUAAUAGGCGUCAUGAUAGCGAUCAAUCACAUCACUUCUUUCUCAAUCUGUCGGUGGUUGGUCACAGCGUACCUCUUUGCUCACACACAGGCAGCAAGGUGAGUAGUUGUGUUUCUUCCUUGUCCCCUAGGGUAAAUCUAUAUGACGUUUACAAGAAUGGAUAAUAAAAAAAGGGAAUUGUCCAAUGACUCUGAAAGCACAGUGAAACAAAAAGUGAUCAUUCUGAAACCAAAAUGCAAAUCAAACAUAAAUGGAAUUAUAGAGGAAAUAGCUGACUAGAGGGGUGUUGACACUGAUACUGUUAAGAGACUCUUGAUAUGCAGCCAGAAGAACUCAGCAAAAGUAAACUUGUAAUUGGAGACAAAGAAAGUAGCUGUGAAGAAGGGAUGGAGAUGACCCCGAAGAAGUGAUGCUGGUGAAAAAUGGCACUCCUAGAGAUGUUUCACAUCAUUCAAAGCGCCAAGCGUAAAAAGUCACUAACUGAUCCAGACUUAGAAAGGAAUAUCAGAACUUGUCAAGGCACAGAAAGGCUUCUCACAUGUCUCAUAAGUUAUGGGGUGGGAGGAAGGCAACAAGCAGUGUUCAAACUCCUCUUAAUAAGUUUUUGACAAAGAAAGUAUUUUAACCCCAAUCUUUGUAUCAUUUUAAGUUAUAGAUUAAAUAGUAGUUGUGUUAUUCUUUUCAUUUCCCUAUGCAUUUAUAAGGGACAGUAAAACAAUGCUUAAUGUUUUAAUAACAUUUUUGAAAGUCCAUAGAACAAUACCAGGUUUUCCAAUUGAUUAUUGAGAUCAGGGUGUAUGAUUUCAGCUUGCACAGUCAUCUUUAUUGUCUAGCACCACUGUGUAAAUGUAGGUCUCUCUCUUUCUCUUCAUUUAUCCAUCUCUCUCCAUAGCUAUCCAUCCAUUCAUCUACCCAUCCUAUCCAUCUCUGUCUACCCACCUGUCCCUCCAUCUCUAUCCAUCCUUAUUCAUCUCUAUUUAUCCUUAUCUAUUUCUAGCUCUCUAUCCAUCCAUACAGCUAUCUCUCUGUCUCUGUUUCUACCUUCCUGUCUCUGUUUGUCUAUGUCUAUCCGUCCAUCUGUCUCUGUUGACAUAUUUUUCUAUAUUAUUACAUAAUUUACUAGACCGUCAUUAGUUUUCAGCUUCAACAAUAGCAAUUUAUUCAUCCUCCCCCCAAAAAAAAUUCCAGGUGAAAUAUAACCAACCAAGUAAUUUCAUUCUCUAGCUACAUUUCCCAGAAUCUCAAAUGUAAAUGUAACCUAGUCCUAGCCUGAGUAGAACAGACUGCUGGUAAUCAAGAUCUUGCCGGUGUAAUUAAUGGAAUGACAUUUCUGGAAUCUCUAAAUAUAUCAGCUCCACCAUCUGCCUAAAAAUCACUGAAGUAGGAAUUUCCUACCACUUCAUCCAGGGUGAAAAUAGUUUUUGACCUGAGGGAACUCCCAUCUGAUAAAGGGAAAUAGAACCACUUCCCCGGGCUACCCUCACUUGCAUCAUCCCCAAAUCAAGGAAACACAGACUUUUACUGCAGUUAAGGGUUAACAGGCCUAAUGUGUUGCUUUAAAAGGUAGCCAUCAAGGUCCCCCUGUGAAUCACCCUUGAGAUGGAGCAAGACUGGAAAACCUGGCAAGUGCUUGGUUAUCCUCCCACGAGUCUCUUACUAUAAGUAUUUAAACUAAAUGCGCCCAUGUGAAUGUAACUCAAAUUGCCCCCAUCAUCUGAUCACUCAAUUAAAAAUCAAAGAUUUAUAAUUGGGAUGGAUGGGCAGUGGGGUGAGGGGAGAGGCAGCCAUAAUGAAAGCAUGAAAAUAUUCCCACUUUUCUACGUGACUUCACAGUGCAAUUUAGUAAUGAGUCAUUAUUCCCAGGGUGGAAACAUCAGAGCUACCCAUGUAAGAGAGAUUCAGGCACAGACAUUUAGUUCUUAUAGGCUGACUGGCCCAGGUUCGCAGGGACCUGAACCUGUUUCUUUGGAGGUCAUGAGACUUGAGAUAGAAAGCUCCCUGUGCCUGGUUGUAUGGCUCAAACCUUGCUAAAUUUUGUGUGUUGUUUUGUUUUUUGUUCUUAUUUAUUUAUUUAUGCAAAACUUUGUUUUAUUAGACAUUACAUAUUGGCCUUCCUUUAUGAAAUAGGUGAUACAUUCAUGAGUGUCUUAGAUAGAAUUCUUUUGAAGCCGAGUCUGAGAGAGAUUCUCUGGGAGUGAUUGAUUACUGAGGGAAGAUUCUCUUAUACAACAAACUGAGACAUGUUUUAAUGUUUAUAAACAUUUUUAAGAGUUUGAGCAAAAAAUCAAUUUGAACAGACUCUGUAGGAGCUCUGGGAAGGCUUAUAUAGACAAAAGUGUGGACACCAAGUAAGGAAGUUAUGGACUAGCUAUAGCUGAAAGCCUUGUUGGCACUGAGUGGUUGUCCAUGGGUUUCAGUUUCAUAACCUUGAGACAUUUCAGGCUUAGGUUCUGGUUUGCUCCCCUAGGUCUCCUAAGCAUUAGAACCAUCUCAGGCUAAUGGCCUCCUUGUUUAAUAAUUUUAGCAUCUCUUAGGAGAAGCCUGUAAGAAAGUGAGUAUAGCCACUUAGGCAGGGGAGGAAGCCACCCACAGAGGUGGUAUCAGCUAAAACCUAGUCUUGGCCAACCCACAGGGACUCCUGGAGCAUCAGUGGCAUCAUAGAGCUCUCCCACCUUCAGCCAAGGGAGCCAGGAUGUUAUAUACCCCCAGAAGUUAGCCAUUGGGUGUGGGCUACUGUGGAGGUCACAGGAGGCCACUCCUAUCAGCCAAGGGCAAUUCUCUAGAGAAAGAGAAGAAUUGCCGUCAGUGUUCACAUCGGGGGAGGAUUGGAUGCACCAACCUAAUAGAGGGAAUUUAGGCAGAGUACCAGCAACAUCUACCAUGGUCACUGGUGGGUCCAUAUCGGGGAAAAAUUUCCAACAGAUGUACACAGCGCCUUUAAGUAGCACAGAGAUAACCACAGUAGCCAGUAUGAGAACAUGCUGAAGGCUGUCACCACCACCUAGAAGUUUAUUUUAUUUACAGCUAUAUUCCAAUGCUAGUAACUCACCCUUGCAUUUUACUCACUCCUUCCUCCUUCUUGCCAUAGAAUAAUUAAUUUUUAAUGCUUUGAAAUUCCCAAAUGUCAUUUUCAGAGUCCCUUUGCAUCCUUACAUUUUUGGCUUGGGGUUUUCAUUACUUCUAAUAGGACUAGGCUGUGAUUUUGCAAAUGCAGCGCAAAUGAACACAUUUCUUAUUUAGGUCUGUGGCUUCCAUGCCUAGCUGGAGUCUGGGAAAUAGUAGCUGCUCAAUCUGUUUGUCAGAGGUAUAAGGAAUUAGACCAAUGGUACUAGCCAGUAGACACAGCAACGCAUGUCCUCUGAGAAUAAAGUACAAUUUCACAUUAUGUGUUCAGGUGAGGCAAAGUGGUCAGGGCCAGGCACCUGACCCUCAUCUCUGUGUUCUAAGCAAUCAUCCUUUCCCAUGUGAACUCUCAGACCAUAAACUUGGUGUAACUUACUUGAAAAUGUCAGCCUUCUCAAUUUUAAGUGAGAUGCAGAUGUGAUGGGCUUUGAAUGGCUGUAUUUCAUUUUUGUGAAUUUAUCAUCCUUAAUGAAAAGAACAUCCUUAAUGAUUGGAAAUCAGAAAUUCAGAGCUUUAAACUCAGAUCGCUAGUUGUGCUCUUGCCCCCAGUGGAUAACACAACUCAGGCAGGUACCUUACUUAUGCCAUGAGCUUUGAGAACCAUAGAUUCUUAGAGAGAUUUAGAGCUAGGAGAUACAAAAAAAAAAAAAAAAA
rnacentral:lncRNA from 1 species